rnacentral:lncRNA from 1 species
UUCCCCCGAAAUCAGCUAAGUCCUCAUUUCUAUCUCUCUGAUCUCUCUCUUCCAUCUCACUCUUUUCUCCUCUCUCCUCUCUCUGAAGAUAGAAACGGUCCUCACUCUUGGCGACAUCUCCCCUCACCUCGCUCUGACCUCACCUCGCCUCGCCUCGCUCUGACCUCACCUCGCCUCGCUUCGAUCUCACCUCAACCGUACGAAUCAGGGUUUGAAAAUUAGGGUUUCAGAAUUUGGGCGUUUUGAAGUUUGGGGGUUUAGAUCUACGUUCUGUUAUCACCACUCCUUCUCUGCACCCUCAGGUACUACUCUCUCUCUCUCUCCCUUUCUCUUUGUCUCUGUCUCUCCUUUCAAUCUUUCUGUCUCUCUCUCCUUCUCUCUCGCUCACUAUGUUGCUUAUUUUUAUAUAUGAGUCAUGAUAGUCUAUGCUGUAAUGUUUUGUUUUGUUUUAUGUUAUCUGAAACAGAGAUAGGCACUGUUAGUGCUGUCUCAACAGUGCCAUCUUAUGAUCCUAUUUAUGCAGGAAGCCACUAAAUCUGAGUCCCUGGUCAGGAAACAUAUUACAUUAGAAUUUGCUUCAUUUUCUGAUAGAAUAAAAGCAGUUGCCGAAGCUCCUAACUACCUUUAUAAGAAAAGCUAUAUUGGUGGAGAGCAAAAAGAGUUUAUUUGUUCUAUAUCUAAAUCGAUGUGGCGCUAAAAGCAAUUGGUAUGGAUUUCCUAUUUCUUUAGUAGACACUUCCCCAUUUUUACUUGGGUCAUGGUAAUAAUAUAUAUUAAUCAUUUUUUGUCAAUAAUAUACAUUACUUGCAUUGUUUAGAUGAUGUACAUCUCUAGGGUCUGGUUUGAUACAAGAGACUAAGACAGUGCCAUUGGUGUAAGCUUCCUUGGAAAAAAUAAUCGAAAAAUAUAGUGCACAUGUUGUGUCGUAUCUCAGCAGUAUACGUUAUGUAGCACAAGAUACAUGUAUUGGGGAUCGUCAUGAUUUCACUGUUCGUUUUUUUUGAAUGUCUUUUAAGACGAUCCAACCGUACGGAUGAUAUUAAAAACCCUUCCUAGUGUUUGGAAAAAAUAAUCGAAAAAUAUAGUGCAUAUGUUUUGUCGUAUCUCAGCAGUAUUCGUUGUGUAGCACAAGAUACAUGUAUUGGGAUCGUCAUGAUUUCACUGUUCGUUUUUUUUUGAAUGCUUUUAAGACGAUCCAACCGUACGGAUGAUAUUAAAUACCCUUCUCAGUGUUGGGAAAAAAUAAUCAAAAAAUAUAAUAUUUGGAUUGUAUCAUAUUUUAACAUAAAACCAUAUUAUAAUAUUAUAAAUAUAUUAAAAAUAAAUAAACAAAUUGUGUCUCAAAAAUAGAGGCGGGAUAGUUUCCCCCCAAAUGAAAUCAUGUGCGGUAUAUUCCCCCGAAAUCAGCUAAGUCCUCAUUUCUAUCUCUCUGAUCUCUCUCUUCCAUCUCACUCUUUUCUCCUCUCUCCUCUCUCUGAAGAUAGAAACGGUCCUCACUCUUGGCGACAUCUCCCCUCACCUCGCUCUGACCUCACCUCGCCUCGCCUCGCUCUGACCUCACCUCGCCUCGCUUCGAUCUCACCUCAACCGUACGAAUCAGGGUUUGAAAAUUAGGGUUUCAGAAUUUGGGCGUUUUGAAGUUUGGGGGUUUAGAUCUACGUUCUGUUAUCACCACUCCUUCUCUGCACCCUCAGGUACUACUCUCUCUCUCUCUCCCUUUCUCUUUGUCUCUGUCUCUCCUUUCAAUCUUUCUGUCUCUCUCUCCUUCUCUCUCGCUCACUAUGUUGCUUAUUUUUAUAUAUGAGUCAUGAUAGUCUAUGCUGUAAUGUUUUGUUUUGUUUUAUGUUAUCUGAAACAGAGAU